ensembl:lncRNA
AAGGAGGAAGGAGGGAUCUGGUACUGAAGAGCCAGGGGCCAGGGCCCCAGUGGGCAGGGCCUGAGGCCAAGCCAGAGGUCAGUUAUUACCACGAGAUCAGGCCACAUCUGACAUGACUCAAGGAAAGGAGCUGUGCUCCAGAAAAUGAGGAGAUGGGUCAAGAACACUGCAGAGACAGGUCCAGGAGGAACUCAAUCCCCAACAAAGAGGAGAUGGUGCCCAUUUUCACUAGGCUGGUAAACAUUGAGAAGGAGUCGGUCAUUUUCACUGCAGUUUCCUGCUAAAGCCUGUGGGAUCUUUGGAAGCCUGUGAAGAAGGGACCCUCCUGCCAUGCAGUCAGCAGAUCUGGAAGGACUGAGCACAGUGGUCAAAGGACUUAGUGUUCCAACCCCUCAUUUGGAAUGAGGGGGAAAGGAGCCUGGGAAACUCCCCACCACUUCCUGCCCCCACCCUCCCCUCCCCAGCUGAAUAGUGACAGACAUUCUCCUUUGAUUGUGAUGAGCUGAGAUCAAGGUCUGUCCCGAGGAUGGAAGCUGCAAAAUAAGUCCCAGAGCCCAGAGCCUCUGGGAAGGACAGGCACAGGCCCAGGAAAUGGCCAGGUGAGUACAAUCGGUCGUGUCUGGGAUGCGGGCACAUACUUAACACACAAUUUGCAUCAUUUCCUGUACUGUCUGUCCUAGGAAUUUCCAAGUUGGUCCUCCCUUUCUGAAGCAACUAGUAUUUGAAAUGAAAGGGAGGAAGGAAUACCCAAGGAUAAGAGGGAAGAGAAAUUAGGUUUCCUAACCCGGAUAUGGAAUAAUUUUAGGUCUCAGGGGAGGCCAUGUUGUUUAAACUUCUUUUGGUGGGUUGUUUUUUUUUUUUUUUUAAUUGGAGUAUAAUUGCUUUACAAUAUUGUGUUAGUUUCUGUCAUACAACGAUGUGAAUCAGCUAUAAAUAUACAUAUAUCCCCUCCUUCUAGGACCUUCCACCGCCCCCCAACCAUCCCAUCCCUCUAGGUCAUCACAGAGCACCGAGUUGAGCUUCCUGUGCUCUAUCCCUACUAGCUAUCUAUU